rnacentral:rRNA from 1 species
UACGUAGGGGGGCUAGCGUUGUCCGGAAUCAUUGGGCGUAAAGAGCGUGUAGGCGGCCCGAUAAGUCCGCUGUGAAAGUCCAGGGCUCAACCCUGGGAUGCCGGUGGAUACUGUCGGGCUCGAGUCCGGAAGAGGAGUGUGGAAUUCCUGGUGUAGCGGUGAAAUGCGCAGAUAUCAGGAGGAACACCAAUGGCGAAGGCAGCACUCUGGGCCGAUAUUGACGCUGAGGAGCGAAAGCGUGGGGGAGCGAACAGG